rnacentral:pre_miRNA from 1 species
AGCCCCCUGUAUGCGUGUUGAGAUUUCGUCAACCAUCAACCCGUUAGGGCUGAUGGUACUUCCCAAAUAAGUGAAGCG